rnacentral:rRNA from 1 species
UCGGGAAUUUUGGGCAAUGGGCGAAAGCCUGACCCAGCAACGCCGCGUGAAGGAUGAAGUAUUUCGGUAUGUAAACUUCGAAAGAAUAGGAAGAAUAAAUGACGGUACUAUUUAUAAGGUCCGGCUAACUACGUGCCAGCAGCCGCGGUAAUACGUAGGGACCAAGCGUUGUUCGGAUUUACUGGGCGUAAAGGGCGCGUAGGCGGCAAUUCAAGUCAUCUGUGAAAUCUCCGGGCUUAACUCGGAACGGUCAGAUGAUACUGCUUUGCUAGAGUGCAGAAGGGGCAAUCGGAAUUCCUGGUGUAGCAGUGAAAUGCGUAGAUAUCAGGAGGAACACCGAUGGCGAAGGCAGGUCUCUGGGCUGACACUGACGCUCAUGCACGAAAGCGUGGGGAGCAAACAGGAUUAGAUACCCCAGUAGUCCCUGAGCGGGCUGGCAAGGCGCAU